rnacentral:rRNA from 1 species
ACGGAAGGCAGCAGUGGGGAAUAUUGCGCAAUGGGCGCAAGCCUGAUGCAGCGAUGCCGCGUGAGGGAAGAAGGUUUUCGGAUUGUAAACCUCUGUCAACAGGGAAGAACAUGACGGUACCUGUGCAGGAAGCUCCGGCUAACUACGUGCCAGCAGCCGCGGUAAUACGUAGGGAGCAAGCGUUAUCCGGAAUUACUGGGUGUAAAGGGAGUGUAGGCGGGACUGUAAGUCAGAUGUGAAAGAUACCGGCUCAACUGGUGGACUGCAUUUGAAACUGCGGUUCUUGAGUGAAGUAGAGGUAAGCGGAAUUCCUAGUGUAGCGGUGAAAUGCGUAGAUAUUAGGAGGAACAUCAGUGGCGAAGGCGGCUUACUGGGCUUUAACUGACGCUGAGGCUCGAAAGCGUGGGGAGCAAACAGGAUUAGAUACCCUGGUA